rnacentral:rRNA from 1 species
CGUGUAGGCGGUUUGGUAAGUCUGAUGUGAAAGCCCCGGACUCAACCCGGGAAGUGCAUUGGAAACUGUCAGACUUGAAUACGGGAGAGGGUAGUGGAAUUCCUGGUGUAGGAGUGAAAUCCGUAGAUAUCAGGAGGAACACCGGUGGCGAAGGCGGCUGCCUGGACCGAUAUUGACGCUGAGACGCGAAAGCGUGGGUAGCAAACAGGAUUAGAUACCCUGGUAGUCCACGCCGUAAACGAUGAGUACUAGGUGUUGCGGGUAUUGACCCCUGCAGUGCCGCAGCUAACGCAUUAAGUACUCCGCCUGGGAAGUACGGUCGCAAGACUAAA